CUGGGUGUAAGGAUUCCCACUGUGGCUCUUCACAUGAUGGAACUGUUUGACACAACUGUAGAGCAGCUGUAUAGCAUCUUCACUGUAAAGGAGUUAACAAAUAAGAAGAUCAUCAUGAAAUGGAGAUGUGGGAACUGGCCAGAAGGAAGUAUACUGAAGAUGCAAGUUUUUUUCAUCUGGAGUUCUGCCUGACCAAGAAUUAAGCCUAUAAAUCUAUCUUGCCAUUCAAGCAGAGAGCACUGGACAAACUGAAGCACAAAAACAAAUAAGCAAAACUUAUACAAACAGCAUGGGGGUUGGGGGUGAGGGACUUAAAAGUAGACAUGCUACACCUAAUGUCAAGAAGCAGCUUGGUUUCCUUUGCCAGAUAUCCUUGUGACGACAUGGAUUGUAGAUUCAAUGGUCCUACACAGGGUAUCUAAAAUGUCAUGUUGCUGCAUAUGACUAAAGAGUCCUCUGGAAUGGCCACAACUGAGAGAUAAAGCAACCUCAGGGUCCUGGGAGGGCAAAGCUUGGCCAUCACAGCUUCUCAAGUCAGCUAAGUCAGACAGAACUGCAGAGAUAGAAGUAGAAGGGAACUCAGAUUCUUCCUCAGCUAGGGUAGAAUCCUUGGAACAGUGGAGGUCUUUAAAUUCUUUACAAUCGUCAUAUCUACCAUUGUUGGACUGUUCUUCUGCAUGCUGUGACCUGAUAUUUGACAUGUCUUCUGAAAACGAAGAUGGAACUUCCAUUCGGUAUUCUUUAACAGAACUAUUUUCAGGGGAAGGAAGAUCUUGCUCAGUUCCUGGAUCAAUAAUUGAGGAGUCUCUGGUCUCAUUGUCAGAAGUGCUCGUUGGGGUCAGGACCUCCCUGGUUUCUGUUUUCAUGUCACUGAUGCAGCUGUCUACAGUGUGCUCCUCAUCACUGCUAACACGCCGCCUUUUAAUGGGAGUUGCUCCUUCAUCAUCUGUGAAAACACAUGCCAAAAGGGAAACUUCUCUGAAAGUCAUUAAGAUCACGUUAGGGGGGGAUGUGGGAAGUUAAUUUUGUUUCUAGCAUUUAUAUUUAGGAGGUUCAGCUGAACACACAACUCUUAAACCAGUUACACCAAGUGUAUUACUCCCUCCUCCCACCCUAAAGGUAAUGAUAGUAGUCCAUAAAGCUAACCUUUAGUUUUUCUUUCUUUGGCUUCUUGCUCUUGGAGUGAGUUUCUCUGUUGCAGACAAGUCCUGCAUUUGCUUAAAAGCUCUUGCAGAGUUGGAAUUAGAGCUGGGUUUAACUGUUUGGGAGUGUGUACUGACAGGAGCAAAGCGAGUGCCCUCAGGUCCUACAAAAACCCAGAUAGGAACAUUUCAAAUUCUAAAGCCAACACUUUGAUGCAGUUGUUUACAGUUAAUUGCAGAUGUUUAUUUUCCCAGGAAUCCAUUCUUUCCUAAGAAUACCCUGGUUUCUCUGGGAUUCUUAGAAUGAUAAAACCAGAAAGCCAGUGUUAAGAUACUACAGCAUUUCAUUAGUUGUUUUUUUUUUUUGUUUUGUUUUUGUUUUUUUUGAGAUGGAGUCUUGUUCUUUGGCAAGGCUGGAGUGCAGUGGUGUAAUCUCGGCUCGCUGCAACCUCCACCACCCGGGUUCAAGCGAUUCCCCUCCCUCAGCCUCCCAAGUAGCUGGGACUACAGGCGCCCGCCACCACGCCUGGCUUAAUUUUUUCUAUUUUAGUAGAGACAGGGUUUCACCAUGUUGGCCAUUGAGAUGGUCUCAAUCUCCUGACCUCGUUAUCCACCGGCCUCGACCUCCCAAAAUGCUUGGAUUGCAGGCAUGAGCCACCGUGCCCAGCCUCAUUAGUUCUUAAAGUCACUAAUAGCAUUAUUUUAUGCCCACGAACCAGUAAGUCAGACCAAAGCCUGAAAUAGUGUUUUCUGAAAAAUGGAAAAGGAAAUAUAAGAAUUUUAAAAACAAACCUUGAAAUCAGUUUCUCAAGUUAAAAUUCUGAUGGAUGUCACAAAUAGUAAGGUCUUCCUUACUGAGCUCUGUCAUCUGUUUUGGCUUUUAUGCAUACUGUGAUUUGGGAGGCUGCUGCUCAACAUUCUAGCCCAUUUCCAGAGUGUUCCAUUAUUCUAGGACAUGGCUGUCAUGGGAGUCUGCACAAGGCAACUAAUGCUCUAGAUUUAACUGCCUUUUUUAAAUCAGUAGAUCAUUAAUUGUUUCAGUUACAUAGGAGCCAUAGGCAGUAAUAGAAACAUCACAAGUAUUGUUUCCAAAAAUAUACCCAACUAGAGAUAAGACCACUAAGAUGUUCCCUUUAUUACCUUUCAGCAUUUAAUGAUACCAGCUUGUAGCUUCCAAGGUGAUAGAGUGUGCUGUGUACAUACAAGGCAUAGUAAACGUGUAUUUAAAACUUGUUUUUUUGUCGCACAUGGCUUAAGAGUUUGAAUCAGUAAGUUAAAGUUACGAGAGUAAAAUCAUAUGAAGGCCACACAGUUAACUGAAGGACAGUUUAAAAGUGUGUGCCGCCGCCUCUGCAUAGUUCUUACCCCAUUUAAAGAAGCACUUGCUUUGGAAAUUUCAACUCGGUUGGAGAAAUCAGACUGUAGGUUCUGAUACUGGCUUAUCAAGUUUGUAAUAAGAGUGCUGAUCAAAUUGGCACAGUUUGCUUCAGAAAACACUUGACUUUGAACCUGAAAAAGAAGAUUUAAAAAAAUCUCCAAAAGACCAGCAUAAUGAAACCACAAGCAUUAACUAAUUAGAAAUGACACACUGAGUUUCCAAAGUACUACGUACCUUUAGAAGGAAAUGUGUCAUGAACGUGUAGACAAUGUUGUUGUUUAAAAAAGUUCUUUCAUCCAUUAGGAUACAUUUAAUAUAUUCUGCGAAAACAGGAUCUUCACACAAAAGCUUGAUGCAGUUUUUUGACAUAGCAGACUAAAGUGGGGAGAAGAUGGUUGAGCACUUACGGUUGAGCACGGAAAAAACUUACACGGAAAAAACUUACACAGAAAAAACAUACACUUGUGUAUGAUGGAAUCUGAAGCCACUGAAAAUCCUACUUGAAAAGCCAUGUCUAACUCACCUAUUGAAUUUUUAGUUAACAGCAACUAUUUUUCAUACAGUAAAAUGUUACUAAUUUAGAUUAAGGGAGUGCUGGGGGAAGACACUGAUGCCGAAACUGAACAAAUGUUUUAAAAGAAAUGCAGGUUUAUUAUCCAGCACUGAGAGAGUUAACAAGGACUGGAAAAAUAAGGCUAACAAAGAAUAGGAUGUGAAUGUUUUCAAGGGCCAAAUUAAUGUAUUUAUAGGUAACCAGAGCAUAUGUUGCAAAAAGACACAUUUUAAGAAUCAAAAUCAAUUCUCCAAAAUGUUUUAAACUUUACUGUAUAUUCUCGCUAGCAACAGUAAUUCUGUAAAUACCUUUUCCCCCCAUAAACACUGCAAGGGUAAACAAUAAAUCUUCUUUCCUAAUUAUCUCA
rnacentral:lncRNA from 10 species